rnacentral:rRNA from 1 species
AGACUUUGAUUCUGGCUCAGGACGAACGCUGGCGGCGUGCCUAACACAUGCAAGUCGAACGGAGCUCCGCCCUUCGGGACGGAACUUAGUGGCGAACGGGUGAGUAACGCGUGAAGAACCUGCCUUCCAGUGGGGGACAACAGUUGGAAACGACUGCUAAUACCGCAUGAUACUUUUGAGGGGCAUCCCUUGAAAGUCAAAGCUUUAAGUGCUGGAAGAUGGCUUCGCGUCUGAUUAGCUAGUUGGUGGGGUAACGGCCCACCAAGGCGACGAUCAGUAGCCGGUCUGAGAGGAUGAACGGCCACAUUGGGACUGAGAUACGGCCCAGACUCCUACGGGAGGCAGCAGUGGGGAAUAUUGGGCAAUGGGCGAAAGCCUGACCCAGCAACGCCGCGUGAAGGAAGAAGGCCUUCGGGUUGUAAACUUCUUUUACCAGGGACGAAGGACGUGACGGUACCUGGAGAAAAAGCAACGGCUAACUACGUGCCAGCAGCCGCGGUAAUACGUAGGUUGCAAGCGUUGUCCGGAUUUACUGGGUGUAAAGGGCGUGUAGGCGGAGGCGCAAGUUGGGAGUGAAAUCUAUGGGCUCAACCCAUAAACUGCUCUCAAAACUGUGUCCCUUGAGUAUCGGAGAGGCAAGCGGAAUUCCUAGUGUAGCGGUGAAAUGCGUAGAUAUUAGGAGGAACACCAGUGGCGAAGGCGGCUUGCUGGACGACAACUGACGCUGAGGCGCGAAAGCGUGGGGAGCAAACAGGAUUAGAUACCCUGGUAGUCCACGCUGUAAACGAUGAAUACUAGGCGUGGGAGGACUGACCCCUUCCGUGCCGCAGUUAACACAAUAAGUAUUCCACCUGGGGAGUACGACCGCAAGGUUGCAACUCAAAGGAAUUGACGGA